rnacentral:rRNA from 1 species
GACGAACGCUGGCGGCGUGCUUAACACAUGCAAGUCGAACGGAAAGGCCCUGCUUGCAGGGUACUCGAGUGGCGAACGGGUGAGUAACACGUGGGUGAUCUGCCCUGCACUUCGGGAUAAGCCUGGGAAACUGGGUCUAAUACCGGAUAGGAGCCAUUUUUAGUGUGAUGGUUGGAAAGUUUUUUCGGUGUAGGAUGAGCUCGCGGCCUAUCAGCUUGUUGGUGGGGUAAUGGCCUACCAAGGCGGCGACGGGUAGCCGGCCUGAGAGGGUGGACGGCCCCAUUGGGACUGAGAUACGGCCCAGACUCCUACGGGAGGCAGCAGUGGGGAAUAUUGCACAAUGGGCGCAAGCCUGAUGCAGCGACGCCGCGUGGGGGAUGACGGCCUUCGGGUUGUAAACUCCUUUCGCCUGUGACGAAGCGUGAGUGACGGUAAUGGGUAAAGAAGCACCGGCUAACUACGUG